UACCAAUCAACGUUUCGACUUUCUCGCGGUCUUUAUCAAGAUGUGAUAAAGACCGCGAGACGGUCGAAACGUUGAUUGGUAUGUUCACUAUUU